rnacentral:rRNA from 1 species
AUUGAACGCUGGCGGCAGGCCUAACACAUGCAAGUCGAACGAGUGGCGGACGGGUGAGUCAUGUCUGGGAAACUGCCUGAUGGAGGGGGAUAACUACUGGAAACGGUAGCUAAUACCGCAUACCAUCGGAUGAGCCCAGGGGGGAUUAGCUAGUAGGUGGGGUAAAGGCUCACCAAGGCGAAGAUCCCUAGCUGUUCGGAGAGGAUGACCGGCCACACUGGAACUGAGACACGGUCCAGACUCCUACGGGAGGCAGCAGUGGGGAAUAUUGCGCAAGGGGCGCAAGCCUGAUGCAGCCAUGCCGCGUGUAUGAAGAAGGCCUUCGGGUUGUAAAGUACUUUCAGUGGGGAGGCGUUACCCGCAGAAGAAGCACCGGCUAACUCCGUGCCAGCAGCCGCGGUAAUUC